GUCGCCAGUGGUGGGUUUUCGCCGGCGGCGGGCGCGCGCUGCGGCGUCUCCAUGAGAGAAAAGAGAAGAGGAAAGGAGUGUUGUAUUUGUGGUGGAAUAACAAAAUACAGUACCACUACACAGGUAAUAGUAGAAUACACAUCAUGCACGCAUCCAGGGCAUCCAGGGCUGCUUCCGUCGUGGACUUACUCAACGCGCUGCAGGUCUGGUUCGACAAUUUGGUUUAUGGAUUGAAACCGUUUAAGACUGAUGCGUCUCUGUCCAGACUAAACCAAACCAAUCCAAUACAACCCAUUAUGCGUCGCGCAAAGGGCGCUCGCUCGCCCUGUCCACGUAGGCAGAGGGACCACAGCGAUAAAAAGAGAGAAAAAAAACGAACGCGGCGCGGGAUUAAUUGCUAUGUGAGUCGGUCAAGUCGUCUCUUCAUUUGGAAGAAAGAGAGAGAACCUGAAAAUCGCCUCGAACUCCACCCCUUCUCUCCAGAUGCACGCGACCUCUCCUUUCCUCUCCAAUCUCUCUCGUUUUUCCUUCACAUCGGCAAGGGUUGCCGCCGCCGCCGCCUCGCUCACUCCCCAAAUUUUCUCCCCCCUCCCCAAAUCCUGCAGCGGCCGCCUCUGCUGCUCCUGCGCCUGGUCGUCGCCGCCUCUGCUGCUCCUGCGCGUGGUCGUCAGCGCCUCUCCUCCCACCUCAGCGUCCAACCGCCUCAGUGCCUCUUCCUCUUCAUCUCGGACGGCGUCGAGUGCGGCCGCCCCGUGCUCUCUCUCUCUCUCCCAGGUCGACCCAGGAGGAGCUCGAGCGGCAGCGCUGGUCCACGGCGCCGUCGUUGUUGGCAGGAGCGUGAGCGCACAGACGGUCGUCUCCCUCCGGCUUCAUGUCGCCGUCCAUCAACCCGUGAGGUCAGUCCCUGCGUCCUCGCCUCAACCCUCGCUGUCACGCAAGCCUUCUCCUCCGUCCUCUCAAUGUUUUGCGAUGAACUGGCUGCCGACGCUGCAGUGUAGACCACCAUGAAGGUGGUUGUUGGUUGAAUGUCAGAGUUGUAGUUCUUCAUCGAUCGCUGAUCUUGUUCGUCUCUGAAUUCUGCGCUUGUCAUCGUCACCAUGAAAUUGAACUAAUCGACCCCAGCUCACAGAUUUGCCUUGCUGUUUCAUCUGCUCAGAGUAUCAUCUUUCUGUUGAGGUAUAUGUGAAGGUUAGUUGCAUGGAUAAGGCCUUCCAAGUAUUCACUAAUACAGAGUUGCAUCCAAAAAUAAAGUAGAUAAAGCUUUUUUUGAAAAUCAGGGGCCUCCCCCCGGCUCCAUAUUUCAAUGAAGAAACUGAAGCCAUACGAGUACCACAACAACAAAGUCUAAAACAGACUCUGAAUCUAAACAGGGGUAAAACAGUUCCCUGAACGCCUUAUUACAGACCCAAAAAUCAGAAUCUAAGUGGCUAAACUUCGGUUCACUAAAAAAAAUUACAAGGUUGAUUAACAGCAGCUUACCUUGACAGGUUCAAAAUCUCAGUUCGUGCAUUCUACUUCAGUUGUUUUACACUGCCCUUCUCAUUUUUUUUAUCUGCUGCUGCAUACUUUUGAUUCAUUUUGGUCUUGCAUAUUUGUGACACUGUCUCUAUCUGGUGCCUUUUCCAAUAGUACUGCAUUUUUUUAUUGGUUUUCACUAGCUGGCAUUUCCUACUAUUUCAGGUGGUGCGCAAACCUGGUAGUAAAGACCUACAAAAAGUCUGAGGUGGAAAUUUACGUCCUUGUGAAGGAUGAAGGUGGUCGCCACACUGCCUUCUUCUCAAACUACAGCCCACAGUUCUACUUCAGGACAGCUGACAUCCGUGGGAAAAUCGAGUUGCCUCCGGACGUGAAGAUGGUUAUGCCUGGUGACAACAUAACUGCAAUCGUCGAGUUGAUGUUGCCUGUUCCACUCGAACCAGGGCUAAGAUUUGCGCUCAGGGAAGGAGGGGGGACCGCUGGUGCCGGAGUCAUUGCCGAAGUCAUGAGCUAAUAACAAUAAUAUGUUCCAGACCUUUCUCUUUUUACUUCUCAAUUAAUUCGAGAUUUGUUUUGUAAGGAUUUCAAUGCUGUGAAUCAAAUGUCAAACGUAGGAAAAACAAAUUAAGGAUCUAAAUCCUACAAUUUUUAAAAUAAAUUUUCUAUGAAUCAAAGGAGUCGGUAGAGUAGAAGCGUGCAGAACACUAGCUACUGAAAUAUGAGUACGGCCAGAAACAUCUCUUCAACUUAUUAGUGCAUAUCCAACGCCCUCCUGUAAAACGUCCAGACCGACGCGUCCGGACGCACUUGGUGGGAGUAUAAAUCUCAUUGGAUCAACAUUUAAGUAGCAGUAAGUAAUGACUACAGACACUCCAUGCAUCUACACAUCGCUUGCGUCUCUCACUCUGAAUCUAAUCUUCAGAUUUCUGUUGUCCACCACAAAAUAGCUUGAUUAAGGAUACUAUGGGAUCUUGGAGACCUCAGAUGUAGGUGAGGAUGAGAUGCCAGAUAUGAAAUUAUGAAGGAUGAGACAUGUCUGAAGAAGAAGGCUCGGCUAGUUCUACUCUUGGUACUACGAUCAUGUGGCCUGCCAUCGAGGCUCGGAUGCGCAGAGGUAGUAGUUACAAGCCGGUGGCAGCAAACCAACAACUGGCCAACGACAUGCGCACAACCAUCAACUGCCAUAAACUGGUUCCCCUGCUUGUAAACUGCUCGAUUUUCAUUGGCUUGAUGCCAAAAAUUGGUUUGCUGCCAAUCAACUGGUUCGCCAAGUGGAUGCAUCAACUGGUUCUGUCCGUUCCCACAUCAACUGGUUCUGUCCGUUCCCCUGCUUGUAAACUGCUCGAUGAAAUGCGUGACUGUUGCUUCUUUCAAUGUGGGAUCUUUCCUGUGUUGCUUGAGUCAUGAGUGCGUGUGUGCCAUGGAUCUAUUGUUUGCUGCUUCUAAGAGCCGAUGGGAUUUGGUUUAUCCUCUUCCCAGGGGCCUUUUCGCCCAUGCUGAAUAUUUCUAAUGGCAUUAGUUGAAGGCCUCGUUUAGGUAAUUAAACUGCUAAAUAUUUCAGUCCUGCAAUCAAACCGGCCCCAUAUGGAAAGUUUCUAAGGAUUUAAAUCCUCCCAAAAUUAUGUGGAAUCCCUUUGAAACAAAUAAUUCAUUUUUUGUGCCCCACAAACCACUUUGAUCCGUUAUGUUAGUAGGAACGAAGAAUAAUACUACAAUGUUUCUUUACACAUUGUUCAAAUUAUUUUGCACAUAUUACAUGCAGAUUUGGCUUCACUAAAGACCAUGGUGGUCAUAUGGUGCAUGUGUCUAGGAGUAGGGUCUUGAACUAAGAAAUUCCCUCUUCUCUUUUUCGGAUCUAUUGCUGCUGUGCUUAGUGGCCGUGGAUGUUCUGUCCUUGCAGGUGGUUGUUGGUUGAGUGUGAGAGCUGUACUCCUUCAUCGAUCUCUGAUCUUGUUCGUCGAUGAAUUCUGCGCCUGUCAUCGUCGCCAAGAAAUCGCACUAAUCGGUUCGUCGUCAGAUUUGCCAUGCUGUUUCAUGUGCUCAAAGGAUCAUCUUUCUCUUCAGGUUUAGAGACGAGGAUCCAGAGAAAUAUUAUGCUCAGCCAUCCUUCUGUAUCAACUUCUGUAUCAACUGUAACGGUGAGACUUUUACAUUAGCUAUGGAAGAAGAGGCCAAAGAUCAAAUACUAUGUCUGCACCAUCAGCAAGACAUUUGCCAAACCAGGGCAAUGCAUGUACUUUCACAUGGAGUACACUGAGGACAAGCUACAGAAAUACAUCAAGAAGAUGAUGACACAUUGCCACUCAAGCUCGGAGACGGAACCGUGAGCUGCGAUGGUCGCUACAUGCUUGGAACCGACAAGAGGGCCACCACAUCAUGACGAACUGUCAUAUGGUUUCGCCAUCACGCCAACAUCAAAAGAGGGCGACAUGUGCGCCUUCCAUUUCAAGUGCAAGGAAGGGCACCGCCUCUCCUUCACCAACCAGUCUCUAGGCAUAACGUCAUCAGCAGGACCUGUCUUCUAUAUAUGACUUGACGAUUCCGUGUUGUGAUGGUCCGAUGAACUCUGCUUCUCUUUUGGAGACCGCCUACAUGUUGGAGCAUGUGCACAACUCCGCUACCAAGGCAAGUGCGCACAGGAUCGCACAGGAGGCACGCCUCGGGCGCGCCCCAGCCUCUAGUAAUAGGUACAACCCAGACCAAACUAAAUCAAUUUAAGGGAUUAGCCUAUUUCAUUCAAUCCAAAAGCAGUCCAACGGAAAAACUGACUGAAACUGUAGCUUCAGUCCAAACUAUUCACAGGCUUAAAUACACAAAAGUAAUUAGGUGGAUUAGUAGUAGAAGAAGCGACCUAGGUAGCACCCAAGUGAGAUGCUAGUAAAUUACUUGU